UUCCCCAAGCGCCGCCCCGCGCUCCGGGCAGUGCUCCGCGGGGGAACCGGCUCUGCAGACGGGCGGGGGCAAAGCGACGCUGUGGGUUCUCCGCGAGCGGUUCUGCGCUGCCGGGGUGGGUGUCUGGCGUGGGUGCUCCCACGGUGCUGGGGAUGCAAGGCACGGAUGGGCGCUGGCAGAUGUCCCUGGAGCCCCCACGUUGGACUGAACAGCGAUUUAAUACCAUUUCUGCAUCUCUUCAAGCACCAAAGGAGUGAAGCAGGGGCCUGGAGAAAUCGAGGCACGGCGAGGGGUGAGGACAGUGGGCAGACGGCGGGGGAUACUUCCAGGAGGGAGGAUGGAGACGGAUGAUGUCCUACCCGUUACUGGGGGCUCGCCAUCGGGCAUCCACGGGGGCUGGAGCUUGCCUUGGGCAUGAAGCCUCGUGGAGGGAGGUGGGCUGUGCUGUGAACCCCACCUUGGGGCACAGAGUUCUGGGGACAGAGCCCAGGGGACUUGUCUGGAGGGUGCCAGCCAGGCCGGGAGCUGCUUUGUCCUCACGGCAGCUGGCAAGGAUCAUUGACAGCAGUUUUUGCUGGCAACAGGACUGACCUCACCAUCCCGAGGGACUUAUGGGCUCCAAGGGGUCUGGCCCAGCCCAACAGGGACUUGUUUUUUGCCAACCAAUUCCCCAUGGAUAUAACUCUGUCCUAACCUUGAGCUUGCACCUCAGGGAGGCAUCACUCCUCACACUUGGGGCAGUUUAAUUAGCACUGAGACCUCUGUCCCUGCUUAAACCUUCUGGAACUUGCCAAGAAAUUGCAGGGAGGGCACAGGAUGACCAGCUGGGCAGAUAACAUGGUUGAGUCUCAUUUUCCCAUAGCAGACCUAUGAGGAGAGCCAAGAUGCUGUGAUUUGGAGCACUGCACUUUCCAGAAAGGCUUCCCUGGCCACUGUGGGUACAAAGAAAUGCUCAGAGGGGCAAAACCUGCCCCAGCCCUGAUGCUUUUGGCUUGGGAACUGCAGCACUCGCAGCUGAUUCUGGCUGAGAUUUGGGCUCAGCCGCUUCCCCGGCUGCUGCCAUGACACAGUCCAGCGUUUGUAAACAGCCCGAGGUUCCUCAGCAAGGUGUCAUGGGAGGAAAUAGCUGGAUGCCGGGGAGUGCAGCGUCCUGACCUGCCCCUCACCCUUCUUGGUGACUAACCCGCUCCCAAUUUCCGCUCAGGAAGGCAUGAGUCGUGUUGGGAGGAUGUGAGAGCAGCUGUCCCAUUGCUCCUGGCAGGUGCCAUGGGAUGAUGAAGCUGCUUUGGGCUCUGUCCUCACCAUGCUGCAUCCGCCCAAGGCCCUGUGACCCUGUGCCACAGGGAUCCCCCUUCGACCUGCCAGCCUGUGCUUUAAGUAGGAGUGGAAUGUCCAUCCAGGCUCUGCUGGCAAUGCUCGUGUUGUGAGGAAAGGGGUGAGAGAGACUUCAUCGCAAGGUGUCGGGGCCACCAAUGGGUGCAGGAAGGGUUGGGGAAGGGCUGUGCACAGCGGGAAUGCCAAGGGCUGGGGGCUGCAGCCAGGUUUGUCUCAGAUGGUGAAUGGGACUGACACAGGCUCAGCCUCUGUGAUGGCAGGGGAGACACAGGGCUUUUCCAUCUCUGGUCUGCGGGGACUCCCCAGACCUGGCACUGUAGCACCCUUGGAUGCCCACUCCAUGCCGUGACCAGCGCGGUGCCAACACCAGCCCCAGGCGGGUCCCUUUGCUCUCCACAGCCACAGGCUGACUGAACCCGGUCCCACACGGACACCACUCGUUUGCCUCCAGAUGUGAUGUCUAAUGCAGAAGUGGGAUCACUUCCUUCCCCGUGCUGAUAACCACAGGGAAGGAAGGGGCUAUCUUAAUUAUGAGAGCCUUAACGAGGCCCCUCGACCCCAAGGGCAGCCCGAAGGGUGCUCAGCAGCUCCCAGGCUGUGGGCAGGCGACUGCUGGUCGGGUUUGUCCUGAUCGGCUCCAUUCCCGCCCUCGCGGCGCUGCUCAGGCCGUGUGUGUGGGAGGGAAGUGCCGGGAUGUGACAUGGGGAUGUGGCACGGAGCAGCUGUGAUGGGGGGACAGCCCGUGGAGAAUCCCCCCACUUCCUUCCUCACUGCAAAGGGGACUCGCCCAUGGAGCAGAGCAUCCAGUCCAGCCCUGACCUCCAGUCUCCCUUCAAAAGCAAACACCCCUCCAGCUUCUGUCCCGGCAGGAGCCCUGGGGUAUCCCAGAUGCCGCAGACAACAUUUGGUGGAGAAGGUUUGUAUAUUUGAAGCACCAUGCCCUGGGUUCGCUGGGCAAGGUGAUGGUGCCGAGUUUGGGGAAACUGAGGCAGAAACAGCAGACAAGGUUUGUCUUGAGUUGUGCAAGAAGCCAGGGGUUAAAUACACCAAAAACCUCCCUCUGGCCCUCCUGCUCCUGCCCCCAGCUGUUGCAGGAGCUGAUCUGUGCUGGGAGUUACCCUGGGGGAAGAAAAGCACAGAGCCUGGGGGCUUCCCACACCUUCCAUAACCCUUCAUGCCCCUGCUGCAGCAGAGACCUGGGGCUCUCGGUGCCAGGGCAGGCCUGGAUUUCGGGGUCUCACUGCCACAUCACAGCCCCAGAGGAGGCAUGCAGAGGACGUGUCUCUGUUGCAAGAUGAACUGCAGCGUUUCCCUUCGAGGCACACAGCUCCUCCACAUCCCUGCCCGCUCUGCCGCGUCCGCCGGCAGCCACCCGGGGACGGCAACGGGAGGGGGAUGCACUCCUCCCGAAUCCAUCUCUUUUAGCAUCGUUCCCACUGCUGAAGGUACAUGUCUCAAGGUGGAGCCAGAAAUAGCGCGGCUGGCGCUGCAUCGGGGCUGGCAGGGCUGCAGGCUUGGCAGGGGGACAGGCACCGACUGCAGCAGUGGGAACUUUCCAGGCAGCUCCUGCGGGAGCGGAGCUGUUUCUGUGCAGACCCAGCCCCUGGACUGUGGAUCAGCCCCUCUCAGCCGUGAGGCUGGGGCUGACAUGGGGGGACCAGCACAGAGCAGGAGGAACAGAGGUAACAGGGAUAUCUCCUGGAGGAGAGUGACUGCGAUCACAUCCCACCUGAGCUAGGACACAGGUCUGGGCUCUACCACUGAUCUGCUGCAGAACUCGGGAAAGUGGCUUCUACCUGCUUCCAUGACCCAGGGGUGGCAGGUUUCCCUCAAAAUCCAGCUUCUCUCGGGGCCCAGGGAGGAUCUCAGCCUCCAAGGAGCUCAGGUUUUUUGUGGCAGCUCCUAAAUCACAGCCAGGCUCUGGAGCUCGGGGGCUGCUCCCCAGCGCUGACCCUCCGCUGAGCUCUCAGCAGCUGCCGGCACAGCCUGGGACCGCAGGGGUCACCGGCAGGCCCUGAACAAUGCCGACGAGCUGAGCUCAUUCUUCCCAGCUGAUAAUUUGCUUAAAAAUAUUUCUGAGCUCAGGCCUCCUCAGGGAAAACACUCCCAAACGCCGGGCAGAAAGCUGCUGAGUCUGGAGGAACCACACACCCACCACUCGCUCGCCGAGACGUCCCCCCGAUGACAAGCCCUGGCGUCAGAGGGACUGAGGCCAAAGUCUGCCGUUUGAUCUCCCCCUUCGCUGGGGGAAGCCGAAUUUCAGGCCGUCCAAGGGUUUUACCACUUCCCGGUAGCGGUUUCCUGCCAUGAUGUGAGUGCAGGAAUUUUUGGGAGGUGAGUCAGAGGCUGCAAUGAGAACCACCUGGUUGGGGCUGGGCUGGGAGGCUCGAUCCCGAUCUAGGGGUGAUCCCUGCUGCGAUGCUCGGUGCCUGCAUUCCCAGAGUGGAAUUACUUCCUUGGGACACAACAUCCCAUCACAGACCCCAUUUCUGGCCUGGAAAAGAAGAGGGAUUUGCUGCCUGAGUUCCCACGGCUCCUCCUUCUUUGCCGGGCUGGGAUCGGUACACUCCGGCCACCCCACCCGGGCUCCAGGGAGAAGCUUGGGUAAGAAUAAAGAGCAAAACCUCAUCCAGCUCUGCAGGAAGCCGCUGGAAUGGCUGUCCCGCCCCAGCACCGGGUUGUCCCGAGCACGGAACUGCUCCAAAGCAGCACCGAGGCUUGGGUUUCCCUGGGGAGCAAUGCGGGAGUUGGCGGAGCUGAGAAACUGCCCUCCCUGGUCUCUGAAAUUCAACAUACAGAAUGAGCUCCUGCUGAAGGAACCUCCCAGGUUUUGCCUCCUGGGCUAUUAAAGCUCCAUGACCCCGUGCCCACUCUCUCCCCAGCAUUACUCAAACCCCUCUGCGCAGAGAAUAAGUGAGUCGAGUCCAGAGAGUGAGACUGAGCCGGGAUAAGCCUUUGGAAAGGAGCUAAACCUGCUCAAAGCCGGCACUGUUCCCUGACCCGCCCUCCUAAUCCUGCCUGGCUGAUAAUGGAAUAAUAAAGGGCUGCACAGCCUCGCUCUCUGCUGCUCUGUGGGGGAGGUUCCUGCUGCCUCUGUACAUGCCAGGAGCUGGGAUAUUAAUGACUCCCUAAGUAAACAGAAUCGCUCCUUU